ensembl:lncRNA
CAGUAAUGAAUUGGAUUUAAAAGAAGCUGAGCAUCCAGAAGAGGAAGAAUUCAUACUUUCUUAUUCCAGCGCCAUCAAGUCCUCAGUGAAUCAUUUAUGUAACUUAAGGGGAAUGUUUUAGCUUUAAAAAAAGAAAGUGUCAUGAAAAACACUUAUUAAUCAGUGCGAAGUACAAUGACGUUGCAUAGAAGAAUGCAUAUUGCACACACCUCCACAACCAACUUUCCUGACCAGGUCAUGCUGUACGUCACAAAUUCACCCUCACCCCUCCUAGAAGGAGAUGUUGUUGUACAAAAGCAACCACCAAACGUUUCAUGUCACUGCAGAGGAAGGUAGGAGUAGACAAGAUCUGGUCUCUGGGAUUUUGCCUAAUGGCUCUGCUGACAUUACGAAAGGCUCAACUUGAAGCAGCGACCACAGUUACAGCUGUUUUACCCAGUGAAACUGUCAC